rnacentral:rRNA from 1 species
UACAGAGGUCCCGAGCGUUGUUCGGAUUCAUUGGGCGUAAAGGGUGCGUAGGCGGCGGGGAAAGUCUGAUGUGAAAUCCUGGGGCUCAACCCUGGAACUGCAUUGGAUACUUCCUUGCUAGAGUACUGGAGAGGAAACUGGAAUUCACGGUGUAGCAGUGAAAUGCGUAGAUAUCGUGAGGAAGACCAGUGGCGAAGGCGGGUCUCUGGACAGUUCCUGACACUGAGGCACGAAGGCCAGGGGAGCAAACGGG